UACAGAGGGUGCGAGCGUUACUCGGAAUUACUGGGCGUAAAGCGUGCGUAGGCGGUUUCGUAAGUCGGGUGUGAAAGCCCCGGGCUCAACCUGGGAAUUGCAUUCGAGACUGCGUAGCUAGGGUGCGGAAGAGGGAGGCGGAAUUUCCGGUGUAGCGGUGAAAUGCGUAGAUAUCGGAAGGAACAUCAGUGGCGAAAGCGGCUUCCUGGUCCAGCACCGACGUUCAGGCACGAAAGCGUGGGGAGCAAACAGG
rnacentral:rRNA from 1 species